rnacentral:lncRNA from 1 species
AAAUGAACACUGCGAUGUGUUUCAAAAGCCCUAAUUCUGACUCUGCCUGAUCUGUUACUGAAAUGUUAAUUAUAUGCCUAAUCUUCUCUUGCAGGCAAAGGCAGCAGAGUUGGCUAAAAAUGAUCGCGGGUAAAAGCCUCCAAGGAGAGGGCUCAGAAAAGUCACAAGGUCUUUGACUUUGAAGAGUGGAACAAGAAGGCAACAUGUUUUCUGUGAAGCCGACCUGCAUGUCAAGGAGCUCGAUGAUGAUGGAAUCCCAGUGCUGGCUUCCAGGGUGAGGGUCAUUUUGGUUGCAGGCGAGGGUGAUAGAAUGUUGUCAAAAAGAGAGGAAAAACAAAUUUUCAGUUAUGGCAAGUGCAAAAAUC